rnacentral:snRNA from 1 species
AUCGCUUCUCGGCCUUUUGGCUAAGAUCAAGUGUAGUAUAUGUUCUUAUCAGUUUAAUAAAAAUAUUUUAAUUACAAUUGACAUAUAGUAUUAUAUUAUUUUCAGGUGUACAACAU